rnacentral:lncRNA from 1 species
AUCUCCACUUCAUGUUCAUGCCCAAAUCUGAUAGAGAUUAGAUCUAAGAAGAGAAAAGAGAGAGAAGAAGAGAAGAAGAAGGGUUCUUCUUCUCUUCAUGGUGAUUUGGUUCAGAUCUCAUCGGAUCUACUUGAAAAGGUUCGCGCAGCGAUCUUCUUCUUCAAGAUCUAGAAGAAGAGAUCUAGAUCCAAGGAUGAAGAGUGAGAUCUAUCAGGUGCUAGC